rnacentral:rRNA from 1 species
UACAGAGGGUGCAAACGUUGCUCGGAAUCAUUGGGCGUAAAGCGCACGUAGGCGGCCUAGCAAGUAGGGAGUGAAAGCCCUCGGCUUAACCGAGGAAGUGCUUUCUAAACUACUAGGCUUGAAUACUGGAGAGGGUCGCGGAAUUCCCGGUGUAGAGGUGAAAUUCGUAGAUAUCGGGAGGAGCACCAGUGGCGAAGGCGGCGACCUGGACAGAUAUUGACGCUGAGGUGCGAAAGCGUGGGGAGCAAACAGG